rnacentral:rRNA from 1 species
AGAGUUUGAUUAUGGCUCAGAACGAACGCUGGCGGCAUGCCUCAUACAUGCAAGUCGAACGAGGUCUUCGGACCUAGUGGCGCACGGGUGAGUAACAUGUGGGAAUCUGCCUGAAGGUUCGGAAUAACUGCGGGAAACUGUAGCUAAUACCGGAUGUGUCUGCAAAGAGAAAGAUUUAUCGCCUUCAGAUGAGCCCGCACUAGAUUAGCUAGUUGGUGAGGUAAUUGCUCCACCAAGGCUACGAUCUAUAGCUGAUUUGAGAGGAUGAUCAGCCACACUGGGACUGAGACACGGCCCAGACUCCUACGGGAGGCAGCAGUAGGGAAUAUUGGACAAUGGGGGAAACCCUGAUCCAGCAAUGCCGCGUGAGUGAAGAAGGCCUUCGGGUUGUAAAACUCUUUCAUCAAUGAUGAUAAUGACAUUAGUUGAAGAAGAAGCCCCGGCUAACUUCGUGCCAGCAGCCGCGGUAAUACGAAGGGGGCUAGCGUUGUUCGGAAUCACUGGGCGUAAAGCGUAUGUAGGCGGAUCAAAAAGUUAGAUGUGAAAUCCCUGGGCUCAACCCAGGAACUGCAUUUAAAACUAGUGAUCUAGAAUUUGGUAGGGGUUAGUAGAAUUUCCAGUGUAGAGGUGAAAUUCGUAGAUAUUGGAAAGAAUACCAGUGGCGAAGGCGACUAACUGGGCCAUUUUUGACGCUGAGAUACGAAAGCGUGGGUAGCAAACAGGAUUAGAUACCCUGGUAGUCCACGCAGUAAACGAUGAGUGCUAGUCGCUGGGACAAUAGUUUCAGUGUCGAAGCUAACGCAUUAAGCACUCCGCCUGGGAAGUACGGUCGCAAGAUUAAAACUCAAAGGAAUUGACGGGGGCCCGCACAAGCGGUGGAGCAUGUGGUUUAAUUCGAAGCAACGCGAAGAACCUUACCAGACCUUGACAUGGUGUGUUUGAAUUACAGAAUCGUAAUUCUUCAGUUCGGCUGGCACACACACAGGUGCUG